GUGUCAUUGCUGACUCAUCCUGGAGCAUGUCAGAAGAACUAAGACUGAGGUUGGAAGAGGAACAAGGAGAGGAUGCUGGUUUAGGAGCUUCAGGACUGGAAAGAGAUCUCUCUCCACCUAACUGCAAAGUGAUCAGGAAAGCACUAUGAGCUCUGAUUCCCUCCCUGAUCUCUGGUUGCUCUCCAGUUCUUUCUGGAUGUGGGUCUGCAGUCAAUACUCCAGCUUUUGGAUGAGUUUAGGGCUUCAUAUCAGAAGAACUCUUUGGAGGACAAAAUGCAAUAUUCUACUGGAGGCAAGUUUAAUACUUGAAAUGCUUCUUUCUACCUGUGAGAAAACCUUUGCUCCCAGGUUUAGAGAAACACAUGAUAAACUGACAUCCUGAAUGUUGGCAGAAAGAAUAGAGAAGACAUCUGUGCUUAAGAAGACCUGUGACUGUGGCAGCAAUAAUUCAUUACGAAUGAUUGAAAGCUGCAGAAGUUCUUCUAAGGAGGACCAUUUGUGGUGACAGAAAUGUCCUGACAUUGACCCUGGAGCUGUCCCCUUUGCAGGUAAUACAAAAGCCCUUUGGGACACUAACCCGCAUUUACAAGACAGAUUUACGAGGGCCUAGAAGGCUGUUUUUCAGCCCCCAUCUGACACUCUCUUACUCCUGCCUGCAAUGAUAUGUAAUGCUGGUCCUAGAGUAAUGGAGAGAGGAGAGACCACACGGUAAUACAGGACUGCCCCUGUGCAACAUUACUUCAUACAAUUUCCUAGCAAAGCACCAUUUUGGCCUGAUGGAGGCAUCUAGCCACCAUGUAUGUUUAUAUCAAGAUGAUUUGACCUUUAAAGGUCCCUUCCAACGCAAACUAAUCUAUGAUUCUGUGAUUUGCGGGCUGUAACUGGCGGCAGAGCUUUCUCCAGAAUGGUUGGGCUUUUGGACAGGCAGACGAGUAGCUAUAGAUUUGGAAUAAACUUUUCAAAACCAGCAAAGACCAAGCACGAAAAAACGUCUUAGCUGUGUAAUUACAAGGGGUGCUUUGGUUCUACUGAUGUGUUUCACAAUGCCAUAUUAGGACAGCUAAGUACUCUAAACAAAUAGCACUUUGGAGUCCCUGUUCCAUUUCUUAUUGGCGAAAGUCAAGCUCUUGGCCCAGGUUCUCAAAAGUAUUUGGGCAUGUUGGAUCCUACAGGUCCUGUGAUCUGGUAACUUGGCUGCAGCUGCGUU